GGGCCCGUAGCUCAGAUGGGAGAGCGCUAGACUCGCAUUCUAGAGGUCAGGGGUUCGAUCCCCCUCGGGUCCACCA
rnacentral:tRNA from 4 species